rnacentral:tRNA from 1 species
UCCGAGAUAGCUCAGUUGGCAGAGCAGCUGACUGUUAAUCAGCGGGUCGCAGGUUCGAGCCCUGCUCUCGGAGC